rfam:Danio rerio chromosome 4, GRCz11 reference primary assembly.
GCCUCGUUGGCGCAGUAGGCAGCGCGUCAGUCUCAUAAUCUGAAGGUUGUGAGUUUGAGUCUCACACGGGGCA